rnacentral:tRNA from 1 species
GGAAGCGUUUCGUCACCGGUGUGGCGCCUGGUCUUCAAAACCAGUGGACGGCAGCAAUGCCGUUGGUAGGUUCGACCCCUACACGCUUCCGCCA